UCUUUUCCCUAUUUCCUUCUUCCUCCCCAUGCGUCCUUCCCCUUCUCCCGAGCCGCAAUCGCCGCCCCUCUUCUCCUUCCUCCCAUGCGCCGCGACGACCCCACUGUCUCCUUCCCCUUCUCUCCGUUCGCGCAGCAACCGCCCCAACCGUCCUCUUCUCCUUCCGUUCGUGCCCAGCCGCAGCCCAGCCGCAGCCCAGCCGUAACCGCCACCCCUCUUCUCCUUCCUCCCGUGCGCCGCAACGACCCCACCGUCUUCUUCUCUUCCGUUCGCAGCAGCCGUCGGCCGCCGCGUCUCCCCUACUGAAGCCGAGCGCCGCGACCUCCAUUCCGAUCUGCUGUCUCCAUCUCCGUUCGCGAAGCAAGACCGCGCCGCUGCUAGUCCAGAUCUGCGUUGCAGUCGUCCCGCGCGCCGAUCUGCCAUCUCCAUCUCCGUUCGCGAAGCAAAACCGCCGCCGCUCGCCGAACCCAACCACCACCCUCUCUUUUCUCCUUCGGAUCGAAACCGCCGCGCCCAUCCACCUGUAACUGCCGCGCAACCUUCAUUCCAACCGCUGUACUGCCGCGCGAUUCUCCGGCCACGUCUCCUUUAGCCGACCGCUGAUCGACCCACACUUAGGAUUUUGCUGCGAGUUCGACAGUCGCGUUGAGGUGUUGGGAGUAACCUUGGGCUCCCUUAAAUUCACAACCAAUUUGUGAAUUGUUGAGGGUUCAGUUCGCCAGUAUUUCGAUGGUGGAGAUUGUGGAAUUGGGAAACUCUCGUUUCAGGAACUGGGUAUUGCAAAGCUAUCUGGUUUUCGUGAAUGGUUUUCUAUUCAUCCGAUGGUUUGAUGGACUUGGAUUUGAAGACGGAUUCCCAGAAAAUGAUCAUUUUUGCUCAUCAUCAUAAAGUUCUGGAUGGAUUACAAGUGAGAUUCUCUUUAGUUUCUUCUAGAACAUUUUUGUUGCUCAAAAGUUGCUCGUUUCUUAUUCAAACUUUUUGCUCAUUUGAAGUUUUUGUUUGCAAAUACCACAAAUUGGACAAAUGUUCACUAGACUUUAAGGUGCAACUUAUAGAGAACUUACAAUGUUGUUUACUGAAGGUCUAAGAUGUUAAUGAAGCUUUGCCAUAUGUUUAUGCCUUUCUGAAUAGUAAUUGAUGUAGUUGCUCCA